UACGAGGGGAGCAAGCGUUGUUCGGAUUUACUGGGCGUAAAGGGCGCGUAGGCGGUCGUGACAAGUCACUUGUGAAAUCUCCGGGCUUAACUCGGAACGGUCAAGUGAUACUGUCGGACUAGAGUACAGAAGGGGCAACUGGAAUUCUCGGUGUAGCGGUGAAAUGCGUAGAUAUCAGGAGGAACACCGGUGGCGAAGGCGGGUCUCUGGGCCGUAACUGACGCUGAGGAGCGAAAGCGUGGGGAGCGAACAGG
rnacentral:rRNA from 1 species